AACUCGAAUGCUGUCCUCCCAACGUAUCAGCCGGAGCUUACGGAAAAUAGGAGAGAGUCCGCAAAAAUUUUCAAUUUUGGUCUCCGGUUUUGAAUUCUAGUCACAUGUAUCAUCAUCAUCAUCAAACUAAAGGUCAAAACUCCCUUUUCUUGGUGUGUCAUCCUAUUCUGCGAUUUCCACAAUAAGUAGGCAAGGCCGCCCCCCCCCCCCCCCGGAUCUGAUCUGGCAGGCUAGAUCAGUGGGUAGUUAUUGAGCACGCCGGGCGGGUAGAGUACGCCAUUAAUGGCGGUGUCUAUUAACCCGUUAACUGCCAACCGUAGUCUAUUCUCAACGGGGACAGUCGACUAAAGUCAUGAGCACUAUUCUUCCGGGUCCCGCAGCAUUUUCCUUUCAACGAUUUCUGAAAGCAGAGUCGAGUCUUGUACUUUUCACAAGAAGUGGUGUGAACUCAACUCAACUGCUCAAUGCUUGACCGCAUUCAGUUAAAAAAAAGAACUCAAAAACAGAGAUCAGUAUUGGGUUACAAUCUAAACCCCUAUAAAUAACCGAAGAAUCUCUUCACCAGUCCUCACCACAACAACAAUAUUUGAAGCCACCCCUCCUUCCAUUUCUCUACCUAAUAACUUCGCAAGUUAUUGCCAUGGCUCCAAGCAGUAGCAGCCUGAUUGUUUUCGCCUUCAUUGCUCUUGCAUGCGCCCUCUGCGUGCAAAGCACUAGUGGUCAGUUCAUCUCCUGGAAUAUACAAUGAUAUUCACAAUCCAAACUUCGUUCGUUGCACAAUAAAUAUACUACUCCGUAUUAUAUUGUAUUUGAUAUGCAUAUGUAGUUCUUGCAUUGAUAUGGGGUAUUGCAUGCAGGAAACAUAGCUUGCGAGGACCUGAAGGAGGACUCUUGCGCCUAUGCGGUGUCAUCGUCGGGAAAGCGCUGCGUGCUGGAGAAGCAUGUCCGCAGAAGCGGGGAGGAAAAGUACACGUGCCGCGCAUCAGAUAUCGAAGCCGAAA
rnacentral:lncRNA from 1 species